AAAUACUGCUUCGCAUACGAUCACUAAAGUUAAGCAACAUCGAGCCUGGCUAGUACCUAGAUGGGUGAUUGCUUGGGAAUACCAAGUGU